rnacentral:rRNA from 1 species
GAUGAACGCUGGCGGCGUGCCUAAUACAUGCAAGUCGAGCGAACAGACGAGGAGCUUGCUCCUCUGACGUUAGCGGCGGACGGGUGAGUAACACGUGGAUAACCUACCUAUAAGACUGGGAUAACUUCGGGAAACCGGAGCUAAUACCGGAUAAUAUAUUGAACCGCAUGGUUCAAUAGUGAAAGACGGUUUUGCUGUCACUUAUAGAUGGAUCCGCGCCGCAUUAGCUAGUUGGUAAGGUAACGGCUUACCAAGGCAACGAUGCGUAGCCGACCUGAGAGGGUGCUCGGCCACACUGGACCUGAGACACGGUCCAGACUCCUACGGGAGGCAGCAGUAGGGAAUCUUCCGCAAUGGGCGAAAGCCUGACGGAGCAACGCCGCGUGAGUGAUGAAGGUCUUCGGAUCGUAAAACUCUGUUAUUAGGGAAGAACAAAUGUGUAAGUAACUAUGCACGUCUUGACGGUACCUAAUCAGAAAGCCACGGCUAACUACGUG